AGCAGCCGCGGUAAUUCCAGCUCCAAUAGCGUAUAUUAAAGUUGUUGCAGUUAAAAAGCUCGUAGUUGAAUUUCGGGGUUAGUAGGUUGGUCAUGCCUCUGGUAUGUACUGGUCUCACUGAUUCCUCCUUCCUGAUGAACCUUAAUGCCAUUAAUUUGGUGUUUUGGGGAAUUUGGACUGUUACUUUGAAAAAAUUAGAGUGUUUAAAGCAAGCUAACGCUUGAAUAUAUUAGCAUGGAAUAAUGAAAUAGGACGUUCGAUCCUAUUUUGUUGGUUUCUAGGAUUGACGUAAUGAUUAAUAGGGAUAGUUGGGGGCAUUAGUAUUCAAUUGUCAGAGGUGAAAUUCUUGGAUUUAUUGAAGACUAACUACUGCGAAAGCAUUUGCCAAGGAUGUUUUCAUUAAUCAAGAACGAAAGUUAGGGGAUCGAAGACGAUCAGAUACCGUCGUAGUCUCAACCAUAAACUAUGCCGACUAGGGAUCGGAUGAUGUUAAUUUUUUAAUGACUCA
rnacentral:rRNA from 1 species